UCGGCGGACGGGUGAGUAACGCGUGAGCAACCUUUCCUUCACAGGGGGAUAAGAUACCGAAAGGUGUUCUAAUACCGCAUGAGACCACAGAGCCACAUGGCUUAGGGGUCAAAGGAGGAAUCCGGUGAAGGGUGGGCUCGCGUCCGAUUAGCUAGUUGGUGAGGUGACGGCCCACCAAGGCGACGAUCGGUAGCCGACCUGAGAGGGUGAUCGGCCACAUUGGAACUGAGAGACGGUCCAA
rnacentral:rRNA from 1 species